rnacentral:misc_RNA from 1 species
GUUAUUACGGGAGAGGAUACGGCCAUGUUGGAAGGGGUCGAGGGCGGGGAAUGCAUAACUAUAAUCCGUAGGUUCUCCUGAUUACGCUUGAACGUUAUAGACAAAUGAGAGCAACUAAAUCAUCCGAGGGUCUGCUAUAUAACUUUUCCUUUUUGAGUUUUAUACUGUUGUGCAGAAAAUAAAUAGUAGAAUAUGUGGUUCUCAUUUUACGUCAGAGGCUUUGUUUUGGGGUUUUCUUUGUUAUAGAAGUGCAGACGUAGUUUUAAGAAGCAUUGGUGUUGUAGGCUCUCUGUCGCCAUAAGAUGUACCAAAGGAGUUCUAUUCCUUGAAGUCAUCCUUCGUACUUUUCUCUUUUGUAAUUAACUGUCA